rnacentral:lncRNA from 1 species
CCACCGUAGCCCCCCUUCCGGAGACACCGAGCUCCCCAACUCCUAUUUUAGAGGUCUGAGACCUCUGACUUUGUAUUUUUCUUUUAUUACAAUUUUUUUCUUCUUAUCUUUAAGAAACAUUCAAUCAAUAAAAUUGGAUUUCUCCUUUUGGAGGGCUUCUCCACUCUGCGCCCCCCCCUUUUUUUUUAUUUUGCUUUCUGCAAUGAGAUGUGCC